AUACGGAGGGUGCAAGCGUUAUCCGGAAUCAUUGGGUUUAAAGGGUCCGUAGGCGGACUAAUAAGUCAGGGAUGAAAUCCCACAGCUUAACUGUGGAACUGCCUUUGAUACUGUUAGUCUUGAGUUAUAUGGAAGUAGAUAGAAUGUGUAGUGUAGCGGUGAAAUGCUUAGAGAUUACACAGAAUACCGAUUGCGAAGGCAGUCUACUACAUAUAUACUGACGCUAAUGGACGAAAGCGUGGGGAGCGAACAGGAUUAGAAACCCUAGUAGUCC
rnacentral:rRNA from 1 species